rnacentral:rRNA from 1 species
ACAUCCAGAGAAUUUAGCAGAGAUGCUUUAGUGCCUUCGGGAACUCUGAGACAGGUGCUGCAUGGCUGUCGUCAGCUCGUGUUGUGAAAUGUUGGGUUAAGUCCCGNAACGAGCGCAACCCUUAUCCUUUGUUGCCAGCACGUAAUGGUGGGAACUCAAAGGAGACUGCCGGUGACAAACCGGAGGAAGGUGGGGAUGACGUCAAGUCAUCAUGGCCCUUACGAGUAGGGCUACACACGUGCUACAAUGGCGCAUACAAAGAGAAGCGACCUCGCGAGAGCAAGCGGACCUCAUAAAGUGCGUCGUAGUCCGGAUUGGAGUCUGCAACUCGACUCCAUGAAGUCGGAAUCGCUAGUAAUCGUAAAUCAGAAUGUUACGGUGAAUACGUUCCCGGGCCUUGUACACACCGCCCGUCACACCAUGGGAGUGGGUUGCAAAAGAAGUAGAUAGCUUAACCUUCGGGAGGGCGUUUACCACUUUGUGAUUCAUGACUGGGGUGAAGUCGUAACAAGGUAGGCGUAGUGCU